UAUCCGGUCGAGCAAGUGCCGCUUAAAUUGUGGAAGACGAAGUAAAAGAAGAAAAAGAAGAAGGAUGCCAGAAGACAGUGAAAAAAGAAGUAGUGGAAACAUUGUGAGAGAGGAGAUAAUCGCGUGUGCGAAUCGGAAAAAGGAACACAAGAAGAAGAAGAAAAAGGAGGAGGAAAGAAAGUCCGACGCGAGACUAAACUGUUCGCGGCCCAUGAUAUCUCUUCGAGCAAAGGACAAUCGUAUAAUUAGAUGUCCUGGCGAAGCCUACACAAUAUCCAGAGGGAAGAUACAUUGGCGGCAGGUUAGGCAUAUUCCAAGGGAGAGUAGAUAGAAGCGAUCUCGAGAGGCUAUAUCGUCCGGCAAUCGGUGUGUUCAGGAGAGUAAUCGAUGCUGGAAUGCGGGUAGGAAUGCUCGAACUGGCCGACGAACGGGAUCACCCGGAUGCUGGCGUUUGUCUUCAACCGAACACUUAAAAAUGCCGCUUUUUGGCUUGGCCACGCGACCACCUCCGGUUCCGUUUAAACUGUAAUCGUUCUUUCUAUUUCGAUUGUGUUUAAUUCUUUAACGGAUAUAAUUAAAAUAAGAAAUAAUUUUUAGAAAAUAAUUAUUCCUUUUUAAAAGCUAUAGUUUUAGGCGUUAGAAAGUAUAUUAUACAUUGUAGUUUUUUGUUACGAAGAUAAAUUUUAAUAUGAGGUUGGUAUAGUUAUAAUUGUCCUUAAUAAUUAGCUAGAAUCUCUCUUGUGCGUCGCGUAUAAACUAGAAUGUAUCGGUAUACUGGAUAGAGAAUCUUGUUCGAUAGAGGAUGAAAGGUCGGCCGAGUGGCCGCGUGUACACGGCUCUGCGGAGAAAUUGAAUAUUCACGUUGCGUGCGGAGGGCGCAGCCUUAGAGAGUAGCGAGUCGUCUGAAAAUAUCGUAGUUCGCGACCAUUUAGAUCGUGUAUUCCCUCUAAUUUUUAUGCCCGUCGAUAAAGAUCUUCCACACGAUUUCCUCCUGGAAAAAAUAGCAUAAAAAGAAACUAGACAUCAUUAUAAAUCAGAUAUUCUUAAAUCAGAAACAAUACAGUUUGGAUUAACAGAAGAAUCGAUCAAAAUUCUUCGAAUGAAGAACAACGAGUUUGAAUUUAUCCUAUAGCGUGUAUCGAAAGUAUUAAA